AUUAAAUGUUUAAACGCGUUUACAACAUGUAGAGAAUGAUUAACAACAAUUAGCAUGGAGCUGUAUACUAAACAUGCUAAAUGUUAUCUUUUUAUGAGACGGCAUCUUGAGAAUUUCGGGAUCUUUACUUUUUUCUAUGAUGUGCUGCUUUUUAAUCUCAUGUGAUUUGUAACGUUAUGCCGCAACUAGCACAACAAUAAAACAAAUAAAGGCAACAUUAGUAU
rnacentral:lncRNA from 1 species